GCUCAGGCUUAGUUGCCCUGCAGCAUGUAGGAUCUUAGUUCCCUGACCAGGGGUCGAACCUGCGUCCCCUGCAUUGGAAGGUGGAUUCUUUACCACUGGACCACCAGGGAAGUCCACCUGACUUUUUUUUUUCUCCUUGACCUUUUUUUAAAAAAUUAUUUUUUAUUCCUUUGGCCAUGCCAUGCGACUUUUGGGAUCUUAGUUCUUCUGUCAGGGAUUGAACCCAUGCCCCCUGCAAUGGAAAUGCUGAGUCUUAACCACUGGACCUCCAGGGAUGUUCCAAUUUUGACGUUUAAAUCUGUAAAACCAUCACCACAAUCAAGAAAAUGAAUAUGACCAUCACCCCUGCACGUUUCUUCAUGCCCCUUAAAGUCCCUCCUCCUACCUCUCCACACCCUUCCCCAUUCCUGUUCCCAAAUGACCACAGGUCUGCUUUUGGUUACUAUAGAUGAGCUUGAAUUUUCUAGACUUGUAUAUAAGUGGAAUGAUAUGUUGCAUACUCUUCUUUUGGGGAGGGGGAACUGGCUUCUUUUACUUAGCAUAAUUAUUUUGAGAUCCAUCCAUGUUGUUGCAUGUAUCAAUAGGUCAUUCUAUUUUACUGCUGACGAGUAUUCCAUUUUAUGGAUCUACCACAAUUUGUCUAUCCAGGACAUUUGGGUUGUUUCUAGUUUGGGGCUAUUACAAAUAAAGCUGCUAUGAACACUAGUAUAGUGGACAAGUCUUUGUAUGGACAUAUAUUUCCUUUUGGAUAAAUAGGAUUAAAAUAUCUGGAUCAUACAGUAGGUGUAAGUUCAGCAUUUUAAGAAACUGUCAUUUUGUUUUUCAAAGUGGUUAUACCAUUUUACAUUCCCAUCAGCAAAGUAUGAGAGUUCCAGUUCCUCCACAUCCCCAUCAAUAUUUGGUGGGUAUUGCAGUUGCUUUCAUUAAUCACCCAAUCCACUGCUCCUGGGCAAGCUCCUGGUGGAUUAAUCCUGCAGGAUGGCAGCCAUCAACCCGUGGGCUUCCUGGGGUAUCCUUAGGGACCAGUCCUGGGGGAUGGCGGCUGUUGACCCGUGGGCCUCCUGGGGAACCAGUGACCUUCAAAGAUGUGGCUGUGGACUUCACCCAAGAGGAAUGGGGGCAGCUGGACCCUGUUCAGAGGACCCUGUACCGUGAUGUGAUGCUGGAGACCUAUGGGCAUCUGCUCUCUGUGGGGAAUCAGAUCGCCAAGCCCGAGGUCAUCUCCCUGUUGGAGCAAGGAGAAGAGCCGUGGUCAGUGGAGCAGGCAUAUCCUCCUCAAGGCACUUGUCCAGAAUGGAUGAGAAACCUUGAAAGCAAAGCAUUGAUCCCAACACAGAGCAUUCUUGAGGAGGAACAGUCCCAUAGCAUGAAGUUGGAGAGAUACAUAUGGGAUGAUCCUUGGUUCUCCAGGUUAGAAGUUUUGGGAUGUAAAGACCAAUUAGAAAUGUAUCACAUGAACCAGAGUACAGCUAUGAGGCAAAUGGUCUUCAUGCAAAAGCAAGUACUGUCUCAAAGAGGCUCUGAGUUCUGUGAACUUGGAGCAGGGUGUAGCCAGAGCCUAAGCAUUGUUCCAUCUCAGAAAGUUUCUCAAAUAGAACAUUUCUAUAAGCCUGAUACAAAUGCUGAAAGUUGGAGAUGUAACUCAGCCAUAAUGUAUGCAGAUAAGAUUACCUGUGAAAAUAAUGAGUAUGACAAAGCCUUCUACCACUCCAUGCAACCUGUUCACCCUGCAAGGGUGCAAACUGGAGAUAAUCUUUUCAAAUGUACUGAUGCUGUUAAAUCUUUCAAUCAUAUACUGCAUUUCGGUGAUCAUAUGGGAAUGCAUACCGGAGAAAAACUAUAUGAAUAUAAGGAAUGCCAUCAAAUCUUUAACCAGAGCCCAUCAUUUAGUGAACAUCCAGGACUUCAUAUUGGAGGAAACCAGUAUGAUUACAAAGAAUAUGAGAAUAUCUUUUACUUUUCAUCCUUUAUGGAACAUCAAAAAAUUGGUACUGUAGAGAAAGCAUAUAAAUACAAUGAAUGGGAGAAGGUCUUUGGGUAUGACUCAUUCCUUACACAGCAUACAAGCACUUACACUGCAGAGAAACCCUACGAAUAUAAUGAAUGUGGGACGUCUUUCAUCUGGAGCUCUUACCUUAUCCAACAUAAGAAAACUCAUACUGGAGAGAAACCCUAUGAAUGUGAUAAAUGUGGAAAAGUUUUUAGGAAUCGUUCAGCCCUUACUAAACAUGAACGGACUCACACUGGAAUCAAACCCUAUGAAUGUAAUAAAUGUGGAAAAGCCUUCAGCUGGAAUUCUCAUCUUAUUGUACACAAGAGAAUUCAUACAGGAGAGAAACCUUAUGUAUGUAAUGAAUGUGGGAAGUCUUUCAACUGGAACUCCCAUCUUAUUGGACAUCAGAGAACUCAUACUGGAGAGAAACCUUUUGAAUGUACUGAAUGUGGGAAAUCUUUCAGCUGGAGCUCCCAUCUUAUUGCCCACAUGAGAAUGCAUACUGGAGAGAAGCCCUUUAAAUGUGAUGAAUGUGAAAAAGCUUUUAGGGAUUACUCAGCCCUUAGUAAACAUGAAAGAACUCACUCUGGAGCAAAACCAUAUAAAUGUACUGAGUGUGGAAAAUCCUUCAGCUGGAGCUCCCACCUUAUUGCCCAUCAGAGAACUCACACAGGAGAGAAACCCUAUAACUGUCAGGAAUGUGGCAAAGCAUUCAGAGAACGUUCAGCCCUCACUAAACAUGAAAUAAUUCAUUCUGGAAUUAAGCCCUAUGAAUGUAAUAAAUGUGGAAAAUCCUGUAGCCAGAUGGCUCACCUUGUUAGACAUCAAAGGACUCAUACUGGAGAGAAGCCCUAUGAGUGCAAUAAAUGCGGAAAAUCCUUCAGCCAGAGUUGCCACCUUGUUGCCCAUCGGAGAAUCCACACUGGUGAGAAACCCUACAAAUGUAAUCAAUGUGAAAGAUCCUUUAACUGUAGCUCUCAUCUUAUUGCACACAGGAGAACUCAUACUGGAGAGAAACCAUAUAGAUGUAAUGAAUGUGGGAAAGCAUUUAAUGAGAGUUCUUCCCUUAUUGUACAUCUGAGAAACCAUACUGGAGAAAAACCCUACAAAUGUAAUCAUUGUGAAAAAGCUUUCUGUAAGAAUUCUUCUCUUAUUAUUCAUCAGAGAAUGCAUAGUGGAGAGAAACGCUUUAUAUGCACUGACUGUGGAAAAGCCUUUAGUGGUCACUCAGCCCUACUUCAACACCAGAGAAAUCAUAGUGAAGAGAAACUCUGUGAAUUGAAUUGAUGAGAGAUUUUUCUUUUAUUGUACAUUUGAUAACACACUGAAAAAAACCCUAUAAGUGUAAUCAAGAUGGGAAAUUUUUAAUACGAGUUCAGUAAGACUUCUCCCCUUAUUAAUCAGUAGAAAUUAUCUUCGUAGAAGAAACCUGUGAAUGAAAAGAAUAGGCAAAAGCCUUCCAUAAUUGUGUAGCCUUUAUUUAACAUCAAAUAAUUACAGUGAAGAGGACACCAGACUUCCCUCAUGGUCCACCAGGAAUCCUACUUGAGCAACAUGAAUGUAGGGGAUGAGACAUCUUUUAGUAAGAGAUCUCAACUAUUUGUGGAUCAGAGUGCAUUGCUAAGGGAAAAACUUUAUCCUAGGAAAAGUGUUUCAACUAGAUAUAUGCUGUUUUGCAUCAAGCUGGAAUAUUGGAUGGAACUUUACAAUAACAUUUUGUGCAUCAUUACGGAAACACAGAUUGUGCUAUUAUAAGGGGAGGGUCUGGGUGCCCUUUAAGGAAUAGAAUAUGGAAUACUAAACCUGAAUUUAAGGAAAAAAAAGUGUUGAAUGGGAUAUUUACUGUUGAUCGAGAUUAACCUUAGAAAACAUUAGUAAAUGAGAUUACUAAUGAUGGAAAGGUAUUGCCCAUAAGUAUGAGGCUGAUGUUGUUGGAACAAAAGGUGAUACUUAAUAACCCAGUGUGUCAGUGACCAUGGUUUACUCAUUACUGCAUUGUUGGACAAUUAGUUUGUAAUCUGUUUUAGGCAGUCACUGUUAAGUUAUAAUUAUGGAUACUGAGUCAAUACACAUAACAAAAAAGGAAUAAAAAAGACACAAAAUUGUAUAUACAUAUCAACUAUAACAUCUAAAAAGUGUAUAUGCGUAACAACUGGAAAGACCCAUGGAUAAAUUAACCCAGUUAAGGUUUCUUUUUUAAGUUUUACGAACACAUACAGCACUUAUCAUGUGCUAGACUUUGUUUUAAAUACUUUUCAAAUAUUAACUUGUUCAGUCCCCUUAAUUCUAUGAGAUAGGUACUAUUAUUAUCCCAGUUUUACAAAGGGAGAAACUGAGGCAGAAAUCAUGAGAAACCUACCUAAGGACACACAGCUAGUUAGGAGUAGAAAGAUUGUUUGGCUCCAGAGAUUGUUUUAACCAAUGUGUUGCACUGCCUCUGCAGUGAUUUUUUUUCCCCUAAUUUUUUUUUUUUUUUUAAUUUUGUCCAGUAUUCUUAUAGUAGAUAUUUGAUAAUAAAAAUCAAAUUCCUAAACAAUGAGAAGUAAAGUUACCUGGCUUUCUGCCCUGUGGGAUUUCGGGUACUAUGAGAGCAAAGCUCCCUUUGGAAUAUAAGUCUGGAUUGGACAUUCAGAAUCAGUGCAUUUUCUGGGCCCUGGGUUCCCUAGAAUUUCACCACCUAUGACCCUGAGGAUUACAGCAGAGCAGGGGCUGGAGGACUCACUGGAGGUUUGGGCAAGUCCGAGGAAAUGCCCCUUGAUGGGUUUAGAAUGCCCUUCAUGAGGCAGAGGGCAAGAGACACAUCUGCACAUGAGAGCACCAUUUCUCAAGGUCUCCCUAGAAUUCAAUGUUUAUAUUUUCUUUAUCUUCUCCAGAUGAAGAGAUUACUUGAUAAUGGGGAGGAUUCAGAAGGGAAGGGAGCUAAUCAGUCAUAAAAUGAGGAAGUGUCUCUGAGUGUUCAGAGUGGAAAGGGGGCAAGAUGAAUAGGAGGACUUGGGUGGUGUUUCUUCGGUUCACAAAUAUUUCCUGUAUUUCCCUAAGGUAGGGCUAUAAUUAAGGGCCAGCAGUCCUUCCUGGAUGGGUUUCAAGGGCAUUGGUUAGAAAUCCAGAGUACAGAAGGUUCAUCUCGUUCUCGAGGGGUCCAUGACCCUCCAGUGGUUGAGAAAAAGUGGCCUGCUGGUAUGGUGGAACUCUGUGCUCACUGUCAGACUCCCGUAGCUGGCGCUUCCAUAGGUAUGUAACACUGACCCUACCUUAAUGUAUAGGGGUUGCCCAGUAAAGGUUGCAGGGGUAAAUUAAUUGGAUUUCUUGUGUGAUUUGUGCAGAGAUCCUUGGAGAGAAUAGAGGCAGCACUAUUAACCUCUGUAAGAGACAGCAGCCUAAUGCAUCAAGAGGUGUACUGCCAAUAUAUGGGUUUCCAUUUACCUUGGGUAAAAACCUAGGAGUGGAAUAGCUGAGUUGUAUGGUAAGUAAAUGUUUAACUUCAUAAGACACUUCUAUGGGCCUUUUAAUCUGAUGUCUUUAUUCUGUUUUACAUUCUGGGAAAUUUAUCUCUUAUUUUUUAAUAUUUCAUUUUUGCCAUUUAAAAAGUUUCUCUUUUUAGGACUCCUGUUAUUUAGAUGUCAGCGUGUCUGUGUCUGUUGUUCAUAUCUGUUACCUGCUCUUUUAUGUUCUCUAGUUCCUUCUCCUUCCUUUUGUCUGGACAUUUCCUCAGCUUGCUAAUUUGUUUCUCAGCUGUCCAUUUUGCUGCUUAUUUCCUCUAUUGUGUCUUCAUUUCAACCACUAUUUUACAUUUCUAAUAUUUCUACUUGGUUCUCUUUUAUGUGUUCUUAUUCUCAUUUCCUAUUGUUAGUAUCAUGCCAUAUCUCUUUAAACGUGCUUAAUUGACUAAGUUAAAAUUUUGGUCCAUCUGUUCUAAUAUACGUGCUUCUGGUGGAAUCUGUAAUCCAGUGUGGUGUUUUUCUUUCUGAAAUAGUUAUGCUCAGAAAAUUGCUUACUGCCUGGCCAGUGAGCACAUUUAUUUCUCUUAGGGAAGCAGCUACUCCCAUCAGUUUUUAUGCAUACAUGAGACAGGAUCAGAUCCUGGUCCCUGUAAACCCCACUGAAUUCAGGGGUGGGAGGAUGGAUCCUAGGAUGGAGAGGUGAAGGCAUCAGAAAGCCAAUCACUGACUUCUUACCUCACAAGAUAACUGAAAUGUGAUUCACUAGCCCAGGGCUCUGUGGAGGCAGGGUGGAGAAACAUGUGCCUGAUGUGAUGUAGUCUCUGCCUGUCUCUCAGCUACUCUGAAGCCCUGCCUUGAUUCCACUCCUCACGAAGCCUGAACCAGAGGCUGUGUCACUGCAGCUGUCGGUGAUGCGUGACCGUCCAGUCAACAAAUUCUCCUCACUUUCCACCUCACUGCCCUGUCUUUACUUGCUUCAUCACACACGUCACUAUGGAACAUCACCUGGUCUAUAUUUUUCCUUCCUUAUUGUCCACACCAUCUCCCGAAACCACACACUAGGCUGUGAUCUCCAUGGGGGAGGGCACCUCGUUGGUCUUGGUCGUGCUGUGUCCCUAGUGUCCAGCACAGCACCUGUGGUUCUGUGAGUGCUUGGAACGCACCAGCUGGUUGUUGCUUGUGCUUCCCAGCAGCCUGACCUCAUCAGGUGGGGUGGCCAUGAGUUCUCAUCAUCCUGGGUCUCCUGACCAUGGAGAGGAGACUGGGGGUGACUGUGGGGUGGUGCCCACAGGGAGAAGGGCUUUGUAAUCAUAGACAAAUGGUCAAGAACCCCUGUAUGUGGGAGAAGGACUAGUCAGAAGGCUUGAACAUAAAACGGGGGGUGGGGGUGGAUAUCAGAGAUGCCACAAAUCAGACUCAUCUUGUGGGCAGAGGGGAGAAGUGGCCAGGAAUGUGGGCGGUGCUGGGAGCUCCCCAGCAACACAGUCUUCGAGUCACGAGGGUCAGGGCUCAUCCCAGCCUUCCCUGCAGAUACUGUUAUGUCUGCACAGGCAACACCCUCCCUUGUGUCGUCACAGAGACAAAAUCCCUCUGCAGAUGGAGUGAGCAGCACUGUGCUCAAGGUGGGUCCUCUUGGGAGGAACUGCUGAAGAGUCUAGACGAGUAUUUAUACCCUGAGGAUGGAGGGUCCCCAGGUGGAGAACUGGGGGCCCGAAUCACAGGGAACCCGAUAAGAUUUUCCAGCAGGAAGUCACUAAGUUUGGCCUUGCUCCCCAAACUCCUAAUCCUGGAAGUCACUUGGGCGCUUAUUAAAAAUGUAGACCUCCUGGCCCCAACUCCGAUCCGCUAGACCCAGUGCUCGGGAGAUUCUUGUCAUGCUGGGAGCAGACAUCCAGUGGGACCUGACAUGGAAGGAAGCCAGCUUGGAUUGGGGUCAUUAUGGGUCCACGUUGGGCAGGACCCAAGCAAGGUGUGAGGGACUCUAACCCGGCCCCAUGCAAUGAUGACACCAUAGGAAACGGUGGUAGCCCAGGCUUCAUGUGGCCUAGAGGGGCAACCCCAAGAUCCUCUUCAAAGGGUUCUGGGAUAAAGGAGGGGUGAAAUCUGGAGGUGAGGGGUGACAAUGUUGAACCUUAACCUCCAGGCUCCUGGAAAACAGAGACAGUUGAAUCCCUCCAACCUUUUGUGUUCCAGGAAAUGGCUUACUGUGAAGGACAGAUAGGCCUCUUGACCCCUCUUUCACAUAGGACAAGGCCAGAGCCAGACUCUCCAAAUUUCCAUUCACUCUGAUAAAUGAUUAGCUAGACUGUCCGCGCUGAUCAAUCAGAACAAAAGUCUGUUGACUUGACUUCACCAAACUUUAGUUCAGCUUCUUCCCUCCCCAAAGACCCUUGAACUCUGACUUACUUCUAAGGUUAAAUAAGUAUUCGAAUGCAGGAAAGUGGCCCCUCUCUAGAACCAGCUGACGGCAAGACAUCUCCUGCUGCAGUCCGAUCUUCCACUCCCCACACCCGGUUCUUUCUAGCCUUGUUCACUCCUCCCUAUGAAAGAAAGUUCCUUUCUGCGCAACCUUGGAGAUGCUUGCAGAUCUUACUGUCAAGAGUGUUCUCCCUACUGCGACAGUCCCUCUCUCCUUACUGGAAUCAUCUUUCUGAAUGUAGUCUCUCCUUACCUAAGCUUGAUUUUGUUUUCUGUUUGGCAGAAGUUGACUCCAGGCCCUGCUUUUGGGUCUGGUCAAAACCCACAGAGAGGAUGACCUCCCACAAGGCCUUGGUGAGCUGCCCAGACACGCAUGAAGGCUGGGUUUCUGUAUGGGAACCACUGAGCAACUUUAACCAGGAAGGACAGAAAAUGCUUUUGUUUUUAAAGAGGUCCUAGUGGCUGCUGUGUGGAUAAUGAGCUGAUGGAGGCAACCGUUACCAAGGAAGGCAAGCGCGGAGGCUACUGUGGUCUUUCCGGCAAGAGAUGGAAACUUGGACCAACGUGGUGCAGAAGUGUGCAGAGAAGUGAUGAAACGCUUCACCGUACAGUUUCAAACUGCUCAGUGAACCUCAGAGCAAGAUAAACACAAAGAAACCACAUUAUUAAAAAGUACUGAAGCCCAAGAGAAAAGGUCAUGGUCAUGGUGAAGCUUGGAUCGGAUUUACCUUCUUUCCGGUAAUAAUUAAAAACUCGUAACCUUGAGCAAAAAGCUUAAGGCAACUGGAGAACAACCGUAGCAGGAAGAGACUAUGGUGGAGCCCAUCCUCAGUUACCUAGGAGACGCGGCUGGGCUGCACAGCCUUCUGGGAGUUGUGGUCCAUAGGCCGGGCCCUGGCCUCCUCGGACAGGGGAGCACCUGUGAGGUUCAGACUACAACUCCCAGAAGGUACCGUGGCG